AGCCACCAAAAUGUAUCAGGAUCUGAAAAGAGUCUAUUGGUGGCCAGCUAUGAAAAGAGAAGUGGCACAGUUCGUGUCCGCCUGUGAAGAUGUCAGAGGGUGAAGCUGGAACAUCAGAAGCCGGCUGGAAUGCUUAACCCACUACCGAUUCCAAAGUGGAAAUGGGAGAAUAUAGCUAUGGAUUUCGUGGUGGGGUUACCGGCGACAUCCAACAGACUAGACUCCAUAUGGGUGAUUGUGGACAGACUGACCAAAUCUGCUCACUUCAUCCCUAUCAGGAGUGGCUAUUCUGUGGACAAAUUGGCGCAGGUAUAUGUUGAUGAAGUGGUCAGGUUGCAUGGGGCUCCCGUUUCAAUAGUGUCAGAUAGGGGAUCCCAGUUCACCUCCAAGUUUUGGCGGAGUUUGCAGAAUGCUAUGGGUACCAGACUGGACUUUAGCACUGCUUUCCAUCCACAGACAGACGGACAGUCAGAGAGGACCAUCCAGACUAUUGAAGAUGUGCUCAGAAUGUGUGUGCUAGAUUUUGGCAGUUCUUGGAGGCAACAUCUACCUUUGGUGGAGUUUGUCUACAAUAACAGCUAUCAUGCUAGCAUAGAGAUAGCUCCAUAUGAAGCUUUGUAUGGAAGAAAGUGCAGGUCACCUGUCUGCUGGGAAGAAGUGGGAGAAAGGGUCUUGGCAGGGCCUGAGCUAAUAGAGAUCACCAGCAUAGUAGUGCCAUUAUCAGAGAAAGGAUCAAGACUACUGUGAGUCAGUAGAAGAGUUAUGCAGAUGUCCGCAGGAAGCAUGUAGAGUUUCAGGACGGAGAUAUGGUGUUGCUCAAGGUGUCUCUGAUAGAGCAUAUUUUAGCCCAAUUUAUCCUUAUGUUCUUGAUGUUUAUUUACACCUUUUUUACCUAAUUUUGUGGUUUUAAUCAUGUUUUGAAGAUAUUAGGUGUGAAGAAACAAUUUGGAGGAAAUGCUCUUAAAAGUGCCAAAGAAUGCUAAAAAUCAGCCACCUUCGGAAGCACUUUCGGAAGCCGAAACUCAACCACCUUCAGAAGCACCUUCGGAAGCACUUUCGGAAGCCAAAAGUCAACCACUUUCGGAAGCACUUUCCGCGGCCUAAAGUCAAGUCCAGAGGCAAAACUCCACCACCUUCGGGGGCACCUUCGGCCGCCGAACCUUCACUCCAGAGCCGAAAGUCCACUUCUGGAAGCAACUUUAGGCAGCCGAAAAUCCCUCUCAAUACUCUCUUUCCUCAUUCAAGAAUCCAUAUCCCAAGUUGCCAUAUUUGAGGAGCCAAACGAGGGAAGUAUUUUGAAAUCCAAAUCUUCAAGAUUCACAUUCAAAUAUUGGAUUUCAAGAUGCAGCUUAUUAAGGAAGCCAAAUCCAAAGAUCACAUGUUUCCCACUUCAUGCCAUGCACAUUCAAAUUUCAAAAGGAGGCUCCACCUUCCCUAUUAGUGCAUGGGCAACCUCUUGGACUUCUUGGGAAGCAACUUGAUGAUCUUGGGCAGCAAUUAAAGGACCAAAGAGCCCCCACUUGCAAUCCAAUGCAUGCUCCACGUUUUUGCCUUCACACAUGCACAAAGAAGGCACAUAUGGGACCAAGGGCACUUUGGACAGCCUCUAAAAGAUGCAUGGACAGCCACCAAACCCUAAGAAGCCUCUCAAGAUCUAUUUAAAGGCUUCAAGAAGACAGGAAAGGCAGAUUUUGAAUCUCCCAACCUCUCCAAGGUUCGGCCGCCACUCCUCCUCCACCUUGUGCCACCACCGGUUCUUCCACCUUCUUUCUUCUUCUAUUUUUCUGUUUUGGUUCAGCCAUGAGUGGCUGAAACCCUUAUUCUAGUUGAAGUUUGGUUGAAACUAAGGUUGUUUAAAAGGUUGUGAGAUCUGAACAUAAAGUAUUGUCUUUGAUUUUAUUCAAUAUUCAUGCAAUUGUGCUUUGAUUCUAAGAUUGCUUUAUUGUUUUGAUCAAAUUGGCCACUUGAUUCUUGAUUGCAAAGUUAAUUGAUUGUUGGUUAGGAUAUUUUUUAGUCCGUAAUUGCUGGAAAUAUUCUGUCCAUAGAACACUUGGUGUAAAAACCAAAGAAUUGCAUGAUCUAGCACCAUCUUCAAGCGUUUGGAGUAGCUAGGGUUGGAUCUUUCUAGUUCUUUAUGCAAUUGACAAUUGUUUUGAUGCCUUAGGCCCAAGGACGUUCCUUGGCAAUUAGUUGAUUAGUAAUUGAUUAGAGGAUGUUCCCUAAUUAAUUUGUUCAUAAGGAAAGACGUGGUGGUGUGAAGCGUUUUCCAUCCCCAUAACUAACCUAUUGAUUCAAUCAAGGUAAUCUAAGUUUCAAUGAUCAACCCAAACAACCAAAGUGGAUCCAUAUCUUCAACUAGACUUUUCUCAUAUUGAUUUCCUCUUUUAUUUUGAUUACUUGCUGUUUUAUUUGCUUUCAAUAGUUGUUAGUCAAAUUAUCUCAAAAUCCCCCUUUUUACUUUUAUUCCACUUUACUUUCAUUCAAGCUUUCAAUUACUUGCUUUCAAUUGUGUUUUCAUUUAGUUCUCUUGGUCUUGAUUGAGAAAAAUAAAUAGGUAAUCAAUUCUCUGUGGAUUCGAUCCUUCACCACUAUCUGCAGUUGUAAAUUAUUGAUAACCAAGAAGGUUAUUUUUGACCGGCUUCGACAACCGCACUGUCAGUCUCCUAUGAAAGGGGUGAUCUGUUUUGGGAAGAAAGGUAAGCUAGCUCCACGGUACAUCAGACCCUUUGAAAUCUUGCAAAAGAUUGGGAAUGUAUCGUAUAAGCUGGACCUACCUGCUUCAAUGGAGAGAAUCCAUCCAAUUUUUCAUGUUUCCAUGUUACGAAAGUUCGUGUCAGAUUCGGGCAAGGUUCUUAAUGAGCCUAAUGUGGAGAUCCUAGGAGAUCUCACCUAUGUUGAGCAACCAGUGCGGAUCCUAGACACGCAGAUCAAAAAGUUGAGGAACAAGGAAAUCCCGAUGGUGAAAGUCCUUUGGAAUCACCACAACAUAGAAGAAUGUACCUGGGAGACACGGGAGUCCAUGCUCUAACAAUACCCCUAUCUCUUCUAAGGUUAGUGUUUUUGUUUUACGUGCUUUCUUGUUGUUAUGUGUGUUAUGCCAUGCUAUGUUUGUUUAUUGAACAUUCGGGGACGAAUGUUCUUAAGGGGGGAAGAAUGUAAUACCCAGCUAGACCCCGACACCGGAAUUCCUACCUUCCGGCAGAAUCUCCGUUGGAAUCUGAAAUUCUCGGAUGUCGGAGCCUUCUAGAAGGGUAAAAUAAAGGUUUUCUAAAAUGUUUUUAUAUGUUUUUAUGGUUUUAAUGAAGAAAGAAAUUGAGUUUUGAAAAGAAAAGAGCUUGACGGAAAAACCCAGGUUCGGCCGCAGAACCCCAGGUUCAGCCGCCGAACCUCAUGUUCGGCCGCCCAACCUCAUGUUCGGCAUCCGAACAUGGGGCAGACGCAGAGGCAUUUUUGGCCCCCGAAAGUGGUCUGGCCAGCCACCUAUAAAGGGCCCCUUAUUCGAAAAUGGGCGAGUUUUCUCUCUCCAUUUCCGGGCAAGGUGAGUCUCCACCACCCCUUGUCGAUCUUGUGCUUUUCCUUCAAGUCUCUCAUGAUUUUUAUGAGUUUUCACCUUUGUUUUGAAGAUUUUGAGCUAAGAUCAAAGUUUUGAAGUUUGGAGACCCCCGGAGCUCGUUCCUCCAUAUCUCCAAGUUUGGGAUCGCAUCUCCUCUCAAUCUUUAAGAGGUAAGUGUAGAUCCUCAUCUCCUUUUAUGUUUUAAGUAAGUUUUGAGGGGUUUUAAGGGUGUUUAAUGCAUGUUUAGAGUAGAUGUAAAAUGUUAGGGUUUAUGUUGGUUAAAUGAUGAAUGUAUGUUUAUGAGAUGAUAUGUUGAUGUUUGUUGGGGUUUAGGCUAGUUUUAUGCCCCUAUAUGCUUGAAUGAGUGUUUAUGCAUGUUUUAGAAUAGUUGAAUGCAUGUUGUGAGGUUUUAGAUGGCUGGAUGUGAGAGGCAGAAUCAGGUUCUGCCCUUUGGGAGAGCCCAGGUUCGGCCGCUGAUAGAGCAUAUUUUAGUCCUUUUCAUCUUGAUAUAAUUGAUGAUUAUUUACAUGAUUUCUGCUUAAUUUAGUGCUUUUGGCAUUGUUUUGCAGAAAAUGGUGUAAAAUGACAUUUUGGAGAAAAUCCCCCUAAAACUGCCUUAAAUGGAGCAAAGGAGAGCAAGCCUGCCAAGUUGAAAUCAAGUCAAGCUAAAUAAGAAAAGUUCUAAAUAAGAAAAGUGGCAAAUAUGGAAAGAACAUUCAGCCAAGACAAUUUGAAAUUCAAAUUUCAAAUCUCCAGGUAGCCUUUUCCUUAUUCAAGAAGCCAAGCCUCAACUUGCCAUAUAUGAAGAACCAAAUAAGGAAAGUAUUUUGAAAUUCAAAUCUUCAAGAUUCAUAUUCAAAUUUUGAAUUUCAAGAUUCAGCUUGCCAAAGAAGCCAAAGAAAGUCACACAUGCCACACAUGCCUUGCACAUUCAAAAUUCAAAUUGCAAAGAAGGCUCCACCUUCCUUAUUAGUGCAUGGGCGGCAAGGAGAGUGUGAAGGCAAGCCUUGGGUACCUUGGGCAGCAUCUUGAAGACCUUGGGCAGCAAGUAAAAGACCAAAGAGCCCAUCUCUUGCAAUUUGAUACAUGCUCCACGUUUUUCCCUUCACACAUGCACAUAGAAGGCACAUAUUGGACCAAGGGCAUUUUGGGCAGCCUCUAAAAGACUCAUGGACUAUCAAGAAACCCUAGGCAGCCUCUCAAGACAUAUUUAAAGGCUUUAAGAAGACAAGAAGGGCAGAUUUCAUUACCCCCAUCUCCUCUAAGGGUUCGGCCGCCGAUCUUCACAAGGCCUCUGCACCGCCGGUUCUUCAUCCUCUCCAUCUUCUCUUCUUGUUUUUGAUUUUUGUUUCAGCCAUGAGUGGCUGAAACCUUUAUUCUAGUUGAAGAUUGGUUGAAACUAAGGUUGUUUUAUGGAUUGUGAGAUCUGAACAUAAACUAUUUGUCUUUGAUUAGUUCAAUAUUCAUACAAUUGUGUGCUUGAAUCUAAGAUUGCUUUGUUGUUUUGAUCAAAUUGGCCACUUGAUUCUUGAUUGCAAGGUAAUUGAUUGUUAGUUUGGAUAAUUUUUAGUCCGUAAUUGCUAGAAUUAUUCUGACCUAAGAACACUUGGUGUAAAAACUAAGGAAUUGUAUGAUCUAGCAACAUCUCAUGUGUUUGAGUAGCUAGGAUUGGAUCUCUCUCUUUCGUCAUGCAAUUGACAAUUGUUUUGAUGCCUAAGGCCCAAGGACAUUCCUUGGCAAUUUGUUAAUUAGUAAUUGAUUAGAAGACGUUCCCUAAUUGAUUUAAUCAUAAGGAGAGACAUGGUGGUGAGAAGCGUUUUCCACCUCCAUAACUAAUCUAUUGAAUCAAUCAAGAGAACAUGAGUUUCAAUGAUCAAUCCAAACAACCAAAGUGGAUCCAUCUCUUCAACUAGACCUUUCUCAUAUUAGAUUUAUCUUCUAUUUAAUUAUUAUUUGCUCUUUUAAUUGCUGUCUGUAGUUGUUAAUCAAAUCAAAUCUCAAAACCCCCUUUUUUACUUUUAUUGCACUUUACUUUUGUUCCGCUUUUAGUUACUUGCUUUCAGUUUCUCAUUCAAUUAAAUCUCUUGGUCUUGUUGAGAAAAAUAGAUAAGAUUACGAUUCUCUGUGGAUUCGAUCCUUUACCACUAUCUGCAGUUGUAAAAUUAUUGAUAACCGAAAAGGUUAUUUUUGACCAGCUUCGACAACUGCGAGUCAAAAAUUGGCGUCGUUGCCGGGGAAUUGUUCUAACUUGUUUAUUUUUCUUUCAUGACCAGAUCUGAAUGUAGGGACACUCUGUCUUACAAUCCGGAAAUUGAAUGCACAAUCAGGAGACUCGGAAAGCAAGCCAUUGAGCCUGAACAUUCUGCCACACAUUCGGCCGCCGAACCUUCCCUUCUCCAGCCGCCGAAUAUCUCACCAAAUGGCACAAUCACCGUCACAAAUCUGAAUCAUGGAUGAGGUAAGUAGAUCUGAUCUUUCUUUUCUGACAUCUUUUAUGAAAGAUUUUGCCAUAGGACUAGUUCAACAGGUUCAAGUACCCUAGCCACCAGAACCAUGUAGGAUCUGUGGAUAUGUGGGACACCCAACUGAUCAAUAUCCCACACUUUACCAAUAUGACCAACCAGUACAUGCAUUUGGAAGACUCAAUAGCCAGCCUAGACAUGCAUAUGGAGGAUUCUAUGAACAACCAAGACAUGAUCCCUACCAUAACACCUACAAUCCAGAUUGGGGAGCCUAUCCAGACUUCAGUUAUGUAGAGGCUAACAACUACCAGGAUUAUCAAGGAUAUCAAGCCCAACCAGGACCUCCAAAUUCCCUCCAGCACCUUGAAAAGAUGAUGGAAACAAUGGUAAGUUCCAUGCAAAGCAUGCGACAGGACAUAGGACAAUUGGCCACCUCAAUGAAAGCAAACAUGUUAAGAAGAGAGCAAGAGCUUCAAGAUGUGGAGGAUGAUGAUGAAAGUUGGCAAGUACAAGAACAAGCUGCUAAAGAAACACAGCCAGAAAACUGUUUGUCCAAACCAACUAGUCAAACAGAGCCUGUUGAUAGUUUAGAUAUCAUUGAUUGUUUGAGUGAAGAUGUUUUUUAUGUAAAUCAAGAUGAUAUACUAAAUGAUGAUCUUUACAGGAAAGAGAGCCUGAAAGAGCCAGAACUGAAAGAAACUGACUGGUGCAUCCAACAGGUGGACUGCAAUCAUGCGCAGAACAAAGGAGAGCCGAUCGUACCUCUUCAGAACAGCCUUGCGCAGACUGAAACCACCACCUUUCGGCCGCCGAACCUCUCACCACAACUUCCAUCGCAUGAAACUCCUUCCAAUCAUCCCUUUCAGGUAAAUCUUGUGCAAAAGGAGCAAUCUGAAACCAAUUCAGCCAUGGAUCCAAUGCAAACAGCCCAUGCUCACAAGGAACAAAUGGUAUUCCAAGCACCUAAACCAAAUGACCAUGCAGAUCAAUGCCUUCCCAAACAUCUGGAUAAGGUAGAGUUUGUUUUGCUUGAAUUCAGUACUAAAUUGCAGUUAGCCAUAGAGAAAUAUGAAUUGGAGUUCAAAGUGCUACCCAAUCAUCUAAAAAAUGCAAACAUAAGGGCUAGAGGCACACCUCAUCUGAAAGAAGAGAAGCUAAUCAUGUUACUUCAUGAGUACAUGGAAAAAGUAGGAUGGGUUAUGACCAAAUCAAAAGGAGUGCUACACUUUUUGCUCAACGCAGUUAGGACGCUUUUCCCUUCUCCAAUUACUUGAGUCUUGAUCAAGUGGACCGCACCAUACACACCACACCUAGGGGAGUACUCAGUUUCUUUUGCAUUUUAAUGUUUCUUAUACAUUGAGGACAAUGCAUGAUCUAGGUGUGGGGGUGCAUAUCUCUUCUUCUUCUCCCUUUUCUCUUCUUCUUUUCCUUUCAGAUUGCGCACAAAUUUUUUUUUCUUUUUCCUUUCAGUUUUGCGUUAGACUUGCUCUGAAUAGCCACACUUGAACUUUUUUUUUAGUUUUUACUUUCAAUAAUACACACACAACCACAACCUUCUUCUUCUUUUUUAUUUGCUCUACUCAAACUGAUAAACUAUGUUGGAUGAGUUUUUUCUUUCCAUGACUCCAUUGAUGUGAUGACUCUCUAAACUUAUGUUGAAUCAAUUGCAGUGAGUUGUAUUCAUGUUUGAGAAUUGCCUUUUGAAUUGAAUCUUUGAGUUUGCCAUGGUGAAAAAUAUAUUGAUGACACUCAUUAGAGAGAAUGAAUUGAAAAUUGUGUGAAUGAACUUAACAUGACUUGAUUUAGCAAUUGGUGUUGAUUUGCCCAAAUCACUGAGAGAAAGAAAUUCACAAAGGCUUAGACUUCAAAAGCACAAAUUGAAAAUUGUUCCAAUGGUCAAAAGACUAUGAACAGAGCUAGUAGCCACUUGGACAGGUGACCAACUGAGUAACUGGGGGUGGGUAUCACAAAUAUGUACCUUCACGUCAAAAGGUUGGUGACUUUUUCAAGCAAAAUUAAAAGUACAAAAAGUUGAAUAAAGUACUUCAAGGUAAGGGCAAGUCAUUCUGAAAGCUAGAAAAAGUCUUAUCUGAACAAAUAAUAUGUGCAUGUAUGAUCUCUCUUGAGUAAAACAAAUCCUAGCCAUGGUAAGCAAAAGGGAAACAAGGAAAGAAGGUGAGUAAUCUUCAUGCAUAUAUUGUUCACUGUAAUUAUUCAAAAUAGGUGUCUUGAGUAAGAGCUUAAGUGGAAAUAAGGAUCAAGUAGCAAAGAAAGCUUAUUUGACUAUGUUUAUUUGCUUGAGGACAAGCAAAAGGCUAGGUGUGGGGGUAUUUGAUAGAGCAUAUUUUAGUCCUUUUGAUCUUGAUAUAAUUGAUGAUUAUUUACAUGAUUUCUGCUUAAUUUAGUGCUCUUGGCAUUGUUUUGUAGAAAAUGGUGUAAAAGGACAUUUUGGAGAAAAUCCCCCUAAAACUGCCUUAAAUGGAGCAAAGGAGAGCAAGCCUGCCAAGUUGAAAUCAAGUCAAGCUAAAUAAGGAAAGUGGCAAAUAUGGAAAGAACAUACAGCCAAGACAAUUUGAAAUUCAAAUUUCAAAUCUCCAAGUAGCCUUUUCCUUAUUCAAGAAGCCAAGCCUCAACUUGCCAUAUAUGAAGAGCCAAAUAAGGAAAGUAUUUUGAAAUUCAAAUCUUCAAGAUUCAUAUUCAAAUUUUGAAUUUCAAGAUUCAGCUUGCCAAAGAAGCCAAAGAAAGUCACACAUGCCACACAUGCCUUGCACAUUCAAAAUUCAAAUUGCAAAGAAGGCUCCACCUUCCUUAUUAGUGCAUGGGCGGCAAGGAGAGUGUGAAGGCAAGCCUUGGGCACCUUGGACAGCAUCUUGAAGACCUUGGACAGCAAGUAAAAGACCAAAGAGCCCAUCCCUUGCAAUUUGAUAUAUGCUCCACGUUUUUCCCUUCACACAUGCACAUAGAAGGCACAUAUUGGACCAAGGGCAUUUUGGACAGCCUCUAAAAGACUCAUGGACUACCAAGAAACUCUAGGAAGCCUCUCAAGACAUAUUUAAAGGCUUCAAGAAGAUAAGAAGGGCAGAUUUCAUCACCCCCAUUUCCUCCAAGGGUUCGGCCGCCGAUCUUCACAAGGCCUCUCCACCGCCGGUUCUUCAUCCUCUCCAUCUUCUCUUCUUGUUUUUUAUUUUUGUUUCAGCCAUGAGUGGCUGAAAACUUUAUUCUAGUUGAAGAUUGAUUGAAACUAAGGUUGUUUUAUGGAUUGUGAGAUCUGAACAUAAACUAUUUGUCUUUGAUUAGUUCAAUAUUCAUACAAUUGUGUGCUUGAAUCUAAGAUUGCUUUGUUGUUUUGAUCAAAUUGGCCACUUGAUUCUUGAUUGCAAGGUAAUUGAUUGUUAGUUGGGAUAAAUUUUAGUCCGUAAUUGCUGGAAUUAUUUUGACCUAAGAACACUUGGUGUAAAAACUAAGGAAUUGUAUGAUCUAGCAACAUCUCAUGCGUUUGAGUAGCUAGGAUUGGAUCUCUCUCUUUCUUCAUGCAAUUGACAAUUGUUUUGAUGCCUAAGGCCCAAGGACGUUCCUUGACAAUUUUUUAAUUAGUAAUUGAUUAGAGAAUAUUCCCUAAUUGAUUUAAUCAUAAGGAGAGACAUGGUGGUGAGAAUCGUUUUCCACCUCCAUAACUAAUCUAUUGAAUCAAUCAAGAGAACAUAAGUUUCAAUGAUCAAUCCAAACAACCAAAGUGGAUCCAUCUCUUCAACUAGACCUUUCUCAUAUUAGAUUUAUCUUCUAUUUAAUUAUUAUUUGCUCUUUUAAUUGCUGUCCAUAGUUGUUAAUCAAAUCAAAUCUCAAAACCCCCCUUUUUUACUUUUAUUGCACUUUACUUUUGUUCCGCUUUUAGUUACUUGCUUUCAGUUUCUCAUUCAGUUAAAUCUCUUGGUCUUGUUGAGAAAAAUAGAUAAGAUUAUGAUUCUCUGUGGAUUCGAUCCUUUACCACUAUCUGCAGUUGUAAAAUUGUUGAUAAUCGGAAAGGUUAUUUUUGACCGGCUUCGACAACCGCGAGUCAGCCGCCGAAGCCAGUUUCGGCUGCCAAACCUGCCUGUGGAGGCAGCUUUAGGCCGCCUAAACUCGCCCCCGAAAGUUGGACUUUUGGCUCUGGAGGGGAUUUUCGGCCGCCGAACCUGCCCCCGAAGGAUGGUGACUUUCGGCUCUAGAAGGACUUUCAGCCGCCGAACCCUGCCCCCGAAAAUGCUUGACUUUCAGCUCUGGAGGGACCUUCGGCCCCCGAACCUGCUGCCGAAAGUCCCCUGCCCAGCCUUCCAUUGCAUGUUUUCUAUGCAUGUUUUAUGAUGUUUUAGGGGUUUUUGGGGAAAUGUUUAGUGUCAUGUUAGAGUAUGUUUAAUCCCUCAUUUGAGUCCACCUGUGUAGGAUCGGACCUGAGGAACCGAGGUGAUCAGUAGUGAGAUAGCUGCUUCAGAGUCAGCCAGAGGUGAGUGGAACUAAACUAAUCUUUUAUUUUGAGAAAUUAAAUGUUUUAAGCAUGUUCAUGCAUCAUGAUAUAUAACAGGUUGUUUGCAUUAGAAUUCACGAAUAUGACGCAUUGCAUUAUUCAUUGUGGGUGUGGAUGGACAACAGGACAAACCAUUAGCCCUCUAGAUAUUAUGUUAUGUAAUAGAAGUCCUGAGGAGCCCCACCGAGGGUCGGGCACAGAGCUUAUGUAUGUAAUAGAAGUCCUGAGGAGCUCCACCGAGAACCGGGCACAAAGUAGAGGGAUUUUUGGGUCAGUCCAUCCGUGAUGUGAAUUGAUUGUGUUGUGAUGCAUUCCAUGUAAGCAUAUGGUUAUUAAAUUGUUUUAUUGUUCAGCUCACUGGACUUUUGUAGCUCACCCCUCUCCCCUAACCCCCAGGUUUGCAGGUUCAGGAUAGACCAGGGUGUCGUCAAGGUUGAAGGUUGUGUUAAGUAUAAUAGAUUAGUAGUGGACCGGUAAUAUAAAAUGGUAUAAUGUAAUGUUAUGUAGAGAUAUGUUUAAUGGAUUAGUAUUGUGCUUGGCCCUAACAGUAGGGGUAAUCCCUUUUGUACAUGAUCUAUAUGAAAUAUUUUAAUGAUGAGGAAUGUCGAACCAAGCUUGAUGUAUGUUAUGUUGACCCACUAGAGCAUUUGAUGAGGGCUCUAGUAUGGGGUUUUAUAUUUACAGUUAUGAUGCAUGUGCAGGUCAAGCUUGGUAUAUGAAAAGUUUAAAGUUUUUAUGAAAAUGUAUGAUCAUGUAUGGGAUUUUAUUAGAUGUACAGGAUGUAUGUUAGGCUUGCUACAAGUUCCGGCGACCUUAAGUUGAUCUGAAUCCUAGCGCCGGUAGCGGUCCGAUUUCCGGGUCGUUACACAAGUCCUCUCUUCCCAUCUUAGAUUCGGCGCAAGCUUUCCUUCACUCCAAGACCGUCGGCCACCAUCUCUUCUUCUUCCUUUCUUUCUUUUUUUGGUUUUAUUUCAGCCAUGAGUGGCUGAAACCCUUUUUUCUAGUUGAAGAUUGGUUGAUACUUUAGUUGUUUUAUGGAUUGGGAGAUCUGAACACACAUUGUUUAACUUUUGUUUUUCAAUAUUUAUGCAAUCUCAUGCUUAAUUCCAUUGUUGCUUUGUUAUUUUGAUCAAUAUGGCCAAUUGAUUCUUGAUUGCAAGGUAAUAAAUCGUUAGUUUGGAUAGUUUUAAGUCUGUAAUUGCUUGGAUUCUUCAAACACAAGUAACUCUUGGUGUAAAAACUAAGAAAAUUGCAUGAUCUAGCGAUAUCACCAUGCGUUUGGGUAGCUAGAAUUAGGUCUCUCUAUUUCUUAAUGUAAUUGACAGUUGUUAGAUGCUAAAAGCUCAAGGACGUUCCUUUGCAACUUAUUGAUUAGUAAUUAAUUAGAGGACGUUCCCUAAUUGAUUUAUGCUUAAGGAGGGAUAUGGUGGUGAUAAGCGUCUUCCAUCUCCAUAACUAAUUUAUUGAAUCAAACAAAGAAACCUAAGUAUCAAUUAACAAUCCUAACAAUUGAAGUGGAUCCAAUUCUUCAACUAGAGCUUUUCUCAUAUUUGAAUUCCUUUACUUUUAUUAUUUGCUUUACUUUAUUUCUUUCAUCAUUAGUUUAAUUGAAUCAAUCUCAAACGCCCCCCUUUUUACUUUACUUGCAGUUUAUUUUUAUUUUACUUUCAGUUUGUUUACUUGGUCUUGUUAAGGAAAAUAGAUAAGUAUCAAUUCCCUGUGGAUUCGAUCCUUUUUCCACUAUCUGUAAUUGUAAAAUUGUUGAUAACUGAAAAGAUUAUUUUUGACCGGCUUCAACAACUGCACAGUCAAAAAUUGGCGCCGUUGCCAGGAAAAUUAAUUGAACUAAUUUUUCUUUCAUGAUUAGAUUUGGACACAAGGAAACUCUGCCUUACGAUCCAGCAAUUGAGCGCACAGUCAAACGACUUGGGAAGCAAGUCACCACCGAAUCUGCCAUAGAGGAGCCUGCCAUCGCAGGAACUAAUUCAUGGCUAAGGUAAGUACAUCUACUCUCUCUUCUCAAAUUUCUGAACUAACCUCUGCUGUGAGAAGUCUCUUCCUAGUUCAAGCUCAACAAGCUCAACAACUUCAGCAAUCUCAGCCAUGUAGGAUUUAUGUACAUGUAGGACACCCAACUUAUCAAUGUCCUAUACUUCAUGAGUAUGACCAGCAAGUACAUGCAAUUGGAGGAUUCAAUAGCUAGCCUAGACAUGAUCCCUACUUUAACACCUACAAUCCAAGUUGGAGGGACUAUUCAAACUUCAACUAUGCAAGGGCUAGCAAGGGCUAACAACUACCAAAACCAUCAAAGAAAUGCAGCACCUCAAAGUUCCAACAUGCACCUUGAGGAGAUGUUGAAAUCAUUGGCAAAUUCUAUGCAAAGUCUCCAACAGCAGAUAGGACAAAUAGCCACCUCAGUAAGCAAGCUUGAAUCUCAGAGGAAGUUGCCAUUGCAAACAGAGGUGAACCCCAGACAAAAUGUAAGUACAAUCAUGUUAAGAAGUGAGAAAGAGCUUCAAGAUGUCAAGGCUGAUGAUGGAAGUUCGCAAGUACAAGGACAAGCUGCUGAAGAAGAACAACCAGAAAACUGUUUGUCUAAACAAACUGGUCAAACAGAACCUGUUUAUGGUUUAGAUAUCAUUGAUUGUUUGAGCCAAGAAGUUUUUUAUAUGAAUCAAGAUGAUAUGCUAAACAAUGAUUUUUGCAGGGAGGCUAGCCAAAAGGAUGAAGGAAGCCAAAGGGAACUGAAGCUGAAAGCACCAGUCUCCUGCAUUCAACAGAUAGACUGCAACCAAACACAGACAAGCCAUGGACUGCCAGUGCCACUUCAGCAAGCGAAACUCAAAUCGCCCAAACAAAAGGAGGAUAAGGCAGAAUUCGAUUUGCUCAAAUUUAGUACCAAAUUGCAGCCACCUUUAGAGAAAUAUGAAUUGAAGUUUGACGUGCUGUCCAAUCAUCUCAAAAAUGCAAACAUAAGGGCUAGAGGCACACCUCACCUGAAAGAGGAGAAGCUAAACAUGUUACUUCAUGAGUACAUGAAAGAAAUAGGAUGGGUUAUGACCAAAACAAAAGGCAUGCUACACUUUUUACUUAAUUCAGUUGGGACCCUUUCCCUCACCCAAUUACUUGAGCCUUGAUCAAGUGGAGAAGGUCCAGCCUGUGACCUUAAACCAGGGCGUUACUGGGAGGCAACCCAACGAAGGCAACUUGCCUAGUGAAUCGCAUCACACAACCACACUAGGGGAGUACUCAGUUUUCUUUGAACUUUAAUAUUUCUAAUACAUUGAGGACAACGCAUGGAUUAGGUAUGGGGGUGCAUAUAUCUCUGAAUUUUUAUUUUAAGUCCAUUUUAGCUUUGAUUUUUUUUUAGUUUGCACACAUUUUUCAUUUUUGUUAUUUCUGCUUUCAAUGCACACACAUGUAGCCACAAUUUUUUUUUUCUUUUUUCUGUUUUGAUAUGCUUUACUCAAACACAUAGGCUAUGUUGGAUGAGCUUUCUUUCCAUGACCCCAUUGAUGUGAUGACUCUUUAAACCUAAGUUGAAUCAAUUGCAGUGAGUUGUAUUCAUUGUUGGAAAUUUCCUUUUGAAUUGAAUCUUUGAGCUUGCCAUGGUGAAAAAUAUAUAUUACUCAUUAGAGAGAAUAAAUUGAAAGAUGUGUGAAUAAUGAAAUAUGGCUUAUUUUAUCAAUUGGUGUUGAUUUGCCCAAUUCAUUGAGAAAGAAAUUCAGCAAAGGCAAAGACUUCAAAAGCACAAAUUAAAAAUUGUUCCAAUGGUCAAAACACUAUGAAUAGAGCUAGUAGCCACUUGGACAAGUGACAAACUGAGUAACUGGGGGUGGGUAUCGCAAAUAUGUACCUUCACGACAAAAGGUUGGUGACUUUUUCAAGCAAGAAUAAAGUGCAAAAGGUUGAAUAAAGUGCUUCAAGUAAGGGCAAGUGUAAUACCCGGCUAGACUCCGGUAUCGGAAUUCCUACCGUCUGAUGGAAUCUCGGAUGUCGAAAACCUCUAGAAGAGUAAAAUCAUGUUUUUAUAAAAUGUUUUCAUGUAUUUUAUGGAUUUAAGUAAGAAAGAAAUUGAGUUUUGAAUGAAAAUAACCAUAGAGGGAAAUCCAGUUUCGGCCGCCGAACCUCAAGUUCGGCCGCCGAACAUGCAUGAGUUUUGGAGGCACCUUAGGCUUCUGAAGGUGGCCUGGCCAGCCCCUAUAAGAAGCCCCAUGGCUGAAAAUGGGCGAGUUUCUUCCCUAUUUCCGGCCAGAGGUGAGUCCAUGCCCUCCCAUGGUUGAUUUUAAUAAUUUUCCUCAAAUCUUUCAAGUGUUAACAAGUGUUUACUUGGUUUUUGAAGUUUUUGGAACCAAAAUCAAGUUGUGGAGCUUGGAGACCCAAGGAGCUAGAUUUCUCCUACUUCCAAGUUAAGGAUCGUUUUUCCUCUCGAUCUUCAAGAGGUAAGCUUAGAUCCUACCCUCCUUGUAUGUUUUAAACAAGUUUUAUGAGGUUUAUGGGAUAGUAAUGCAUGAUUAAGUUAGUUGUUAGUGUUAGGGCUUAGGUUGAGUUAUGUGUAAUGUGAGUAUGUUUUGUGUUGUUGCUGGGGGUUUAGGAUAGUUUGAGACCCCUAUAUGCUUGUUUAUAUGGGUAUGCAUGUUGUAGAAUAGCUAAAUACAUGAUUGGAAAAGUUUGGGAGGCAAUGUACAUUGAAUGGCUGAGUUCUGCCACUUUGGGAGAACUCAGGUUCGGUAGCCGAAGGUACUUUCGGCCGCCGAAGGUACUUUCGGCCGUCGAACCUGCCUGUGGUAGCAUGUUUCGGCUGUCGAACCCUGCCCCCGAAAAUUGGACUUUCGGCUCUGGAUGGGAGUUUCGGCCGCCGAACCUGCCGCCGAACAUGCAUGAGUUUUGGAUCUGGAGGGAACCUUCGGCCGCCGAAAGUGCCGCCGAAGGUGCAUGAUUUUCGGAUCUGGAGGAGGGUUCAGCCGCCGAAGGUGCCCUGUCUAGCCUUCCUUUGCCUGUUUUGCAUGAAUGUUUUGAGGUGUUUUAGGGGGUUUUUGAGGAGUUGUUUAGAGUCAUGUUAGUGUAUGUUUGGUCCCUCAUUUGAGUCCACCUGUGUAGGUUGGGACCCGAGGAACCAAGGACCCCAGCAGUGAGAUAGCUGCUCCAGAGUCUUUUCAGAGCUAGCCUGAGGUGAGUAGAACGCAACUCUUUUAUUUUAAAGCAAAUGAACUUUAGAGCAUGAUCCAUGCAUCAUGAAUGCCAUGAUAUGUAUUAGGUUGUUUGCAUUAGAAUUCACGAAUAUGUUGCAUUGCUUAAUAUGAUGUUGAUGUGGAUGAACAUUGAAUGAUCCAUUAGCCCUCGUAUGGUAUGAUAUGAUAUGAUGAUGAUACGGUAUGGAAGUCCAGGAAGACCCAUUUUACAUCCCUGGCACUAUGUAAGAGAAAGUCCAGGAAGACCCAUUCUACGUCCCUAGCACAUUGGAAUGUUAUGAUAUGUUAUGUAAGGGAAAGACCAGGACCCAUUCUACGUUCUGGCACUAUUGGAUAUGUAGAAGGCUAUUGGUGACAAGUUCAUCCUUAAUGUGAUUUGUUUGUGAUGUGAUGCAUUUCAUGAAAGCAUGAAUUUUAAUAUAAUGUUUUAUUUUUCUGCUCACUGGGCUCUAGUAGCUCACUCCAUUCCCUUAAUCCCCCAGGUUUGCAGGUGCGGGCUAGACCAGGAAGUCACCAGGAUUAGAAGUCAUGUUUUAUGUAAUAGUUAGAUGUGGACAUGUAUUGUAAAGUGUUAUAAUGUGAUGUAAUGUAAAGAAUUGUAUUGAGGAUAGAAUUGUGCUUGGCCCUAGUGUUUGUCAAUCCCUUUUUGGUACAUGAUCUUUUUAAUGAAAUGUUUUAAUGAUGUUUAUGCAAACCAAGCUUAAUGUAUGUUAUGUUACCCCAUUGGAGCAUUUGAUGAGGGCUCCAGUGUGGGGUUUUAUGAUUAUGAGUUGUGCAUGCACAGGUUAAGCUUGGUAAAUGAAAGAAAAGUUUAAAUUUUUAUGUGUUCGUAUGAUCAUGUAUGGGAUUUAAUAGGUAUACAAGAUGUAUGUUAGGCUUGCUACGGGUCCCGGCAGCCUUAAGCCGAUCUGGAUCCUAGCGCCGGUGGCAGUCCGGUUUCCGGGUCGUUACAGAUUGGUAUCAAAGCCCUAGGUUCAUAUGGUUGGACCUAUAGUGUGUCGGGCUCAUAGAUGUUAUAGAAGGGCAAGCACAAUAGGAAAAUCAUGUCCCCUAGGAUAGGAUGUAGAGUCCUAUCUUGUAUGAUGAUGUGAAAUGCCAUGAUGAUAUGCAUGUGCAUUAAUGAUAUGUAUGUAUGUUAUGUAUGUGAUGCGGGUUCAUGUGUUUCCACAUGAACCAUUUGAUGCUAUUGUUUAUGUGAUAUGUGUUGUUUUUCAGUAAGCAAGAUGAGAGGAACUCGUCGAUCUGCACGAUUGACUGGAGUACCACCCUAGGAUGAGGGCGCGGAUGCCCGUCCCCCUGCUUUUCCUAGGGCAAUGUCCUGUAGGUCUAGUAGGGAGAGAGUGUCAAGGGACCCUAGAAGGUCUUUUGAUAUGAGCAGAAGAGGAACAAUUCAGGGAGGAGCGUCAGAAGAUGUGGGGGAUGAUAUGGAUGUGGAUCAGAGGAGGGAUGGCAGUCUUGGUGUGAGCAUGUCUGAAGAGGACAUGGGAGAGUCUCAGGGAGGCACUCAGGCCUCGGGGUUUGUUCAACCACCCCAAUACCCACCCUUUUCACAGAAUCUCGGGUACUCGAUGGGAGGUACAUCGGAUUACCCCAGCUUUAACCCUUAUCCUUCUUACAUGCCAUACCCACCUUUCUACCCACCAUACACACAGUACCCUAUGUACCCACUCCCAUCUUUCUAUCCAGGUAUAGCAAACCCUAACCCAGGGGAUGUUGCACCUCCUCCACCAUCAGCAGAACCUAUAGUCCCAGAAGCCCAAGCACCUAAACCUAGCUCAUUUGGAGGGAGCAAGGUCAAGAUGACUGACUACUUGAAGUUGGAUGCUCCUAAGUAUGAAUCAGGUGAUGAUCCGUUUGAGUACCUCAGGACGCUCAAAAUGAUAAUAGAUGAGUUAGGGGCAGAUGAUAGUAGAGCCAUUCAGAUGGUUUAAAAACUAUGUGAACCCGAGGUUGGAUAGUCUAUCCUAGGAAGAAUUUGCUAAUGAGUUUGCAGGAUGGGCUUUCCCUGAUAGCUCAAAGGAGUUGAAGAUGAUCGAGUUUGAACAGUUGAGGCAGACAGAGGAAAUGGGUGUAAAUGAGUACACAGAUAGAUUCUUGGAGCUGUUGCCGUUUGUAGGGCAAAAUCUUGACACAGACCAGAAGAAGGCUAGGAGGUAUAUCAUGAAACUUCAUUCCAGGUAUUCCUCCUUGAUCCAAUCAGCAGAAAGGGAGAGCUUCCAUGCCAUAGUGGAUAUGGCCCGGAGGAUGGAGGCUAGUGCCAUAAUCGAAGGAAAAGUUAAACAGUCAGUGGCACAGUCUUCUGGUUCCAAGACCCCAGGUGUGGGAAAGUUAGACUCUUCUUCUUUGAGUACAGCAGCUUCAGGCAGUAAAAGGUGAGCUAAUACCACCAAGAAGCCAAAGAAGAACAAGUUCUGGAACAAGAUAAAGUCAGGUCUGGGAUUAGGAGGUGGCUCGAGCUCAGGUGCAGACAGUGCAGUAUGUGUGAAGUGUGGGAAGCCGCACAAGGGAGUAUGUCGAUUUGGGACGACAGCCUGCUUCAGAUGUGGGCAGGAGGGACACAUGGCACGGGAGUGUUCUAGAGCAGCUUUUAUGGCACAGUCCCAGUAGACAGCUUCUGGUAGUGUGGCUCAGCCAGUAGCUCCAGCCGCGACACAGGCUAGUGGCAGAGGCCGAGGGAGAGGGGCAGCCUCUUCUUCAGCGGGUUUCAGGGGUGAAGGUCCAUCAGCUCCAGCACGGAUCUUCACGAUGACACAGUAGGAGGCAAAUGCAUCAAACACCGUGGUGUCAGGUAAUCUCAUCAUUGGUUGUUCAGAUGUUUAUGCCUUAAUGAACCCUGGUGCAUCUCAUUCUUUUAUUGCUCCGAGAGCCGUUGAGAGGUUGGGUUUGAUGGUCUCUGGGUUAGAGUGUCCCCUUUGGGUCAGUGGACCCAAGUGUAAUCCAUCAGUGGCGGAGUCAGUCUGCCAGUUUAGUCCAGUCUUUGUUGAGGGAAGAUGCCUUCCAGCCGACCUUGUGGUUCUAGAUUUGACAGAUUUUGAUGUCAUUCUAGGGAUGGAUUGGUUAUCUACCUAUGGUGCUACCUUGGACUACAGAGACAAGGUAGUCAGGUUCAGAGGUCAGGAUGGGUCAGAGGUUGUCUUCAGAGGAGACAGGAGGGGUACGCCUAGAGGUUUGAUAUCAACUCUACAGGCUCGUAGGUUGCUCAGGAGGGGUUGUCAGGGUUUUCUAGCUCAUGUGAGAGAGCUAGAUAGUCAUGUCAGAGAGCCCGCCUCAGUGCCUGUGGUCAGAGAGUUUUUAGAUGUUUUCCCAGACGAGCUGCCAGGUUUAUCACCUGCUAGGGAGAUAGAGUUCGAGAUAGAGUUGAUGCCUGGAACCAGACCGAUCUCUAUCCCUCCCUAUAGGAUGGCACCAGCUGAGUUGAAAGAAUUGAAAGAGCAGUUGCAAGAGCUGGUAGAUAAGGGCUUCAUCCGACCGAGUACCUCACCUUGGGGUGCUCCAGUGCUUUUUGUGAAGAAGAAGGGUGGAUCCCUCAAACUUUGUAUCGACUACAGGCAGUUGAACAAAGUCACUACCAAAAUAAGUACCCGUUGCCCAAAAUCGACGAUCUAUUCGACCAGCUAGCAGGAGCGGGUUGUUUCUCCAAAAUAGAUCUGAGAUCCGGGUAUCACCAGCUGAGGAUAAGAGAGGAAGAUGUGCCGAAGACGGCGUUCAGAACCAGAUAUGGGCACUAUGAGUUCCUUGUGAUGUCGUUCGGGUUAACCAAUGCCCCUGCAGCAUUAAUGGAUCUCAUGAACAGAGUGUUUAGCCAGUAUCUGGAUCACUUCGUUAUUGUCUUCAUUUAUGAUAUCUUAGUGUAUUCCAGGAAUGCAGAGGAGCAUGCCCAUCAUCUGAGGAUAGUUUUGCAGACCUUGAGGGAACAUGGCUUGUACGCCAAAUUUUCCAAGUGUGAGAUCUGGUUGAGGAGCAUCUCAUUCUUGGGGCAUGUUGUGUCAGAAAAUGGAAUAGAAGUGGACCCCAAGAAGGUGGAAGCCGUAGCUAACUGGCCUAGACCCACUACAGUGACAGAGAUCAAGAGCUUUUUGGGUUUGGCAGGUUAUUACAGGAGGUUCGUUCAGGACUUCUCUAAGAUUGCAGCUCUUAUGACCAGAUUGACCAAAAAGAAUCAGAAGUUUAUGUGGACUGAUCAGUGUUAGGAAAGCUUUGAAGAGCUAAAGAGAAGGUUGACUUCAGCACCGGUGUUAGCUCUGCCUAACAGUAAUGAGGACUUCACAGUGUUUUGCGAUGCGUCCCGUGUGGGACGGGGUUGUGUGCUGAUGCAGAAUGAAAGGGUGAUUGCUUAUGCUUCUAGACAGCUGAAGAAGCACGAGUUGAAUUACCCUACGCAUGACCUAGAGAUGGCAACUGUGAUCUUUGCACUCAAGAUGUGGAGGCAUUACCUUUAUGCAGUUAAAUGUGAGAUCUUCACAGAUCAUAAAAGCCUGCAGUACAUCCUGAGUCAGAGAGAGUUGAACCUGAGACAGAGAAGAUGGGUAGAACUGCUUAGUGACUAUGAUUGCAAGAUUCAGUACCAUCCGGGUAAGGCGAAUGUUGUGGCAGAUGCCCUAAGCCGGAAAUCACUUGGCAGUUUUUCCCAUAUCACAGCAGAGAGAAGACCGGUGGUGAGAGAGUUCUACAAGCUCAUUAAUGAAGGUUUGCAGUUGGAGUUGUUUGGUACAUGUGCUUUGAUAGCCCAGAUGGGAGUGACACCUGUGUUUCUAGAGCAGGUGGCCCAGAAACAGCACGAGGACCCAGAGUUAGUGAAGAUUGCCAGGACUGUUCAGUCAGGCAAGAACGAAGAGUUCAGAUUUGACAGCAAGGGGAUCCUCCGCUAUGGGAAUAGAUUGUGUGUACCAGAUGACGUAGGUCUGAAGGGAGACAUUAUGAGGAAAGCUCAUAAUGCCAGGUACAGUGUUCACCCUGAAGCCACCAAAAUGUACCAAGAUCUGAAAAGAGUCUAUUGGUGGCCAGCUAUGAAGAGAGAAGUGGCACAGUUUGUGUCCGCCUGCGAAGUAUGUUAGAGGGUGAAGCUGGAACAUCAGAAGCCGGCUGGAAUGCUUAACCCACUACCGAUUCCAGAGUGGAAAUGGGAGAAUAUAGCUAUGGAUUUCAUGGUGGGGCUACCGGCAACGUCCAACAGAUU
rnacentral:lncRNA from 1 species